GGUGCACAAACGGGGAGUUUGCUCCCAGCUACGCCACGUGGAAAGUCCCCGUGCCUCCAGGCAGAGAGUGCCAGCACUAGAUGGUUUGUUCCUGGUCAUCGCAAAGGCGUUGAAGCUUCUGGUGGAGAUGCAGUGCGUGUGGCCAGGAUCGCAGCAGCACAGUCAUCGCGUGAGUGUCUGCAGAGACACCAACUGAACGGGGCCCAUUCUG
rnacentral:RNase_MRP_RNA from 1 species